rnacentral:tRNA from 2 species
UCCUCAGUAGCUCAGUUGGUCAGAGCAACCGGCUGUUAACCGGUAGGUCGUAGGUUCAAGUCCUACCUGGGGAGCCA